rnacentral:misc_RNA from 1 species
GGAUAUUAGAAACUCAAACCCAACCUCCAAAAUAAUUUCUAGUAGAUUAUUUAGAAACUCAAGCUCAAUCUCGAAAUGUUGAGAUUAAAAGGCCUAAGAUGUUAUGAAAAUGUUCCAAGAUUCAUAAGCAGAAGAUGUUGGAUAAGAGACUAAUGUGGGAUAAGAGACCAAGAAGAAUUAGUUUUAACAUUUGAAAGGGAAACUGAAGCUCAAUAUCAAUGUAAUCAGCUCCCAAUUGCAUGGCCAAUCUAAGUGCAUCCAAUCUCUGGUUUUCGUCAACUUCAUACUGACCACCCUCCCAUUUUGGCCUGUAAGUGAAAACAGUAGGCAAAGGAGAGCGUGUUAUAAGCGCUUUAAUAUGUUGGCGAGGAUUGAAACUUUUCAAACUAUCUAAUCGAAUUUCCACAAGAUCAGCUCCACAAGCUUUAGCUUUACCCAAAAGAAUCACCAUCUCGUCGACGGAUUCCGCCAUGAUUGGGGCACAAAUUAGAGUCGGAUUCUUCCUUUCACGUUCUCUUCCUCCACCGCUCAUUUCCGCCACUUCAGCAGAAGGUGAAGCCAACAAGACGGUGCCGCCGGAGUCGCCGGAGUCCAUUUUUGCUGUUGAGAUGCAGAGUCUAAGAAGAAGAAGAAGAAGACAAUAGGUGUUUGCUUUGGUUUAUCA